rnacentral:sRNA from 12 species
AAAUGUUGAGCGGUAAGACCGUUGUAGGUUCUUCCGGCGUUCCCAUCCAUCGGUUGGCUAAGCCGGGGGGUAACAAGCCUACAGGGCACGCUCUUUUU